rnacentral:rRNA from 1 species
UACGUAGGGUGCGAGCGUUGUCCGGAAUUAUUGGGCGUAAAGGGCUCGUAGGCGGUUUGUCGCGUCGGGAGUGAAAACCCGGGGCUCAACUCCGGGCCUGCAGUCGAUACGGGCUGGCUUGAGUGCGGUAGGGGAGACUGGAAUUCCUGGUGUAGCGGUGAAAUGCGCAGAUAUCAGGAGGAACACCGGUGGCGAAGGCGGGUCUCUGGGCCGUAACUGACGCUGAGGAGCGAAAGCGUGGGGAGCGAACAGG